rnacentral:snRNA from 1 species
UUUCUCUCCAGAACGUAUAAACCUUUCUCCUUUUACUAAAGAUUUCUGUGGAGAGGAA